GGAAGGAUCAUUAACACGUUGCGCAAAAACAACGUAAACCCCCAAAAAAAACCUCCGUUUAGAUGUGGUGUCGGAUCUAUUUUUAGAUUUAACAUGUCUGAACAAAAUCAUUUUUACCCAGUGUAUUGUCUGUACUCGAAACCUUUGGAGUUCGUAUUUUGCGAAUUUCGAAAACAUUGAAAUAUAAUCAAAUAUACAACUCUUAGCAACGGAUAUCUAGGCUCUCGUAUCGAUGAAGAACGCAGCGAAAUGCGAUACGUAAUGCGAAUUGCAGAAUUCAGUGAAUCAUCAAAUCUUUGAACGCAACUUGCGCUCUCGGGUUACGCCUGGGAGCAUGCCUCUCUGAGUAUCACCUUCACAACAACUCGGCUGCGUGCCGGACACUGGGCGUCUUUUGUAACCUCUACAAAAGUUGUCUCCAAGCUGAUGCCGAUGAGUGUGGCCUCCUAUUUCAGGGCUGCUCAUAUGUUGGUAGUGUCGCCGUAGUUUGCGAUAUCAAUAAAAUCCACACAUAUUGGGAUGCGGUCAGGUUGCUCACAGUCAUCAAACAAAACAGGAAAAUUUUUCAAACCAUUGAUCUCAGAUGAAGCAGGAUUACCCGCCGAAUUUAAGCAUAUUAUUAAGCGGAGGAAAAGAAACUAACCAGGAUUCCCCUAGUAACGGCGAGUGAAGCGGGAAUUGCUCAACCUGAAAAUCGUCGUGCCAAGCGGCAUGUUCGAAUUGUGGGCUAGAGGCGCCUUAUCAGCAAGUGGCCCGGGUACAAGUCUUUUGGAACAAGGUAUCACAGAGGGUGAGAAUCCCGUCUCUGAUCCGGGGUCCGCUGCGUACGAGGGGUGCUAAUCGAGUCGAAUAGCUUGGGAAUGCUGUUCUAAUUGGGUGGUAAAUUUCAUCUAAAGCUAAAUACCGACGAGAGACCGAUAGCAAACAAGUACCGCGAGGGAAAGAUGAAAAGAACUUUGAAAAGAGAGUUAAAAAGUACUUGAAAUUGCUAAGAGGUAAGCACUGGAAACCAGUAGGGCUCGGAACAUAUUCCCGUUUGGCGCUGCGACUGUCGUUGAUCAGGACCUUACGGCCGUGGUUGGUGGCAGCUCAUCGUGGUGUCCAGGCGGCCUCAGUGGACCGAGCGUGUCAGCAUCAGUUUGGGUCGGAGUAGAAAGCUGUUGUCAAGGUCGGUUUGCUCGCAAGAGUAAACCACUAACAUGGGCGGCAGUAUCAAUGCUCCGAUUAGCAGACUGAGGAACUAUCGAUAACGCACGCCUGCUGGCUGCGUGUACGGUUGCCUGCGAUUGGCCGGUGUUGUCCAGAACAAAGUUCUGGCGGUGCCGCGUCUACCAGUUGUACUGUGGCUGUACACGACAUGUGCGUUCGCGAUGCUGACAAAAUGGUUUUCAAUGAAUCGUCUUGAAACACGGACCAAGGAGUCUAACAUAUAUGCGAGUAUUUGGGUGCACUAAACCCUGAUGCGUAAUGAAAGUGAAGGUGCGACCUUGUGUUGCGCCGAGGUAGGAACUGUCGGUUUGUAGCCGGCAGGGCACUAUCGACCGAUCACUCACUUGUGGGAGAUUCGAGUAAGAGCAUAUCUGUUGGGACCCGAAAGAUGGUGAACUAUGCCUGAGCAGAUCGAGGCCAGGGGAAACCCUGGUGGAGGAUCGUAGCGAUACUGACGUGCAAAUCGUUCGUCUGACUUGGGUAUAGGGGCGAAAGACUAAUCGAACCAUUUAGUAGCUGGUUCCCUC
rnacentral:misc_RNA from 1 species